UCUCGAACUGCUCUUUCAUUGUUUUCGGUUUUGCUGUCCGUGGCUCUGUCUCGCUAUCUUCUUUCUCGGUCUCACUCGCUCUCAGACUGGAUGGUUUUUCGACUUGGAAGGAAAUCGGUUUCGAGGUUUGCCAGAUUUGUGGAGUUGUGAUUGGGGGUUGAAGAUUUUGGUGUUUUUGCGUUUGUUUUCAUCUGCGAUUGACGAAUUUUGGCCGGAUCUGUUCCCUGUUUUUUUCUCUGUUUGAACGACGGCUGCCUUUCGGUUGUUAAGCGACGACUGUCUUUAGAUCGUUGGAGAAUAAAUUUAUUACAACUGAGGUCCUGCUGACACCAACUCAUCUAGCCAUUGUGAUGGAGUAACUGGGGGAGAACUCUUCGAGAGAAUAAUCAGUGCUGGCAGAUUUAGUGAGGAUGAGGAAUACUCAACCGCGGUUCCAGUUCAUCGUUAUGAAUCGGCGCAAUACGGGUACAAAUUCUUUACACCCACGCUUAUUUAGGUGAAGUUUGCAAUCCAAUACAUGAGAAGAGUUAUCUAGAAAAAGGCAAAAUAUGACAUAUUAACGUGAACACCAUUAAGAUGUGUGCUUUUCAAGCUUUGUUAUAUUCAAAUUUUAAUGCACUUGAUACUUACUUCAGAAUCAUUGGCAUUGAUCAAAUAAGGCAGGCGAGAGAAAAGAAAUUGACAAAGCAGAAAGCUUUAGUGAAAGCUAGAAAGCUUCAGUGAAAGCUAGAAAGCUUCAGCUAGCAACAGAAAAGGAAUUGACAAAGCAGAAAGCUUUAGAGAAAGCUAGAAAGCUUCAGAUAAUAAUCAUGAAUAUAUUUUGGGUUAUUCUUCUUUUCAUAAGCUCGAAGUGCAAAUGGUACUUGAAAUGCAAUGCUUAUUUUGUGGUUCACAAUUUUCCUGAAAGGUUACAUACAUAUGGUUUAUACAAAGAGUUUCUGGUGAUGGGAAUUAUCAGAUAUCUGCAAUAAUGAGAAUGCAAAGUAAUAGUGUUGCAAGGUAUAAAUUCUAUUAUGAAUUCUUCAGCUGAUUUGGGGCAGGUGUCCAGUUUGCAGAAAUGACAAGGUAUGCUACAAUCUAUUCUUUGGUAGAUUUGAUUCAAAUUGGUAGAUUUCGGUAAGAAAUAAACUUUUAUCUUUUCUUUUAGUUAAAGACAGUUAGGACAUCAAUUUGUAAAAGAUAUGAAUAUUAACAAUGGUGAUAGAACCGUCAAUCCAUAUAGUUGUAAAUAGAUUUGAACAUAUAU
rnacentral:sRNA from 1 species